UACGUAGGUGGCAAGCGUUGUCCGGAAUUACUGGGCGUAAAGAGCGCGCAGGCGGUCGUUCAAGUCGCGUGUGAAAGCCCCCGGCUCAACUGGGGAGGGUCACGCGAUACUGAUCGACUCGAAGGCAGGAGAGGGUAGUGGAAUUCCCGGUGUAGUGGUGAAAUGCGUAGAUAUCGGGAGGAACACCAGUGGCGAAGGCGACUACCUGGCCUGUUUCUUGACGCUGAGGCGCGAAAGCUAGGGGAGCAAACGGG
rnacentral:rRNA from 1 species